ACCUACGGGGCGCAGCAGUAGGGAAUCUUCCACAAUGGGCGAAAGCCUGAUGGAGCAACGCCGCGUGGGUGAAGAAGGUCUUCGGAUCGUAAAACCCUGUUGUUAGAGAAGAAAGUGCGUGAGAGUAACUGUUCACGUUUCGACGGUAUCUAACCAGAAAGCCACGGCUAACUACGUGCCAGCAGCCGCGGUAAUACGUAGGUGGCAAGCGUUAUCCGGAUCUAUUGGGCGUAAAGGGAACGCAGGGGGGCUUUU
rnacentral:rRNA from 1 species